GGUGGCUCAGUGGUAGAGUGCUUGCCUUGCAUGCAUGAGGCCCUGGGUUUGAUUCUCAGCACCA
rnacentral:tRNA from 1 species